ACAUUGGUAGUUCAGUGGUUGGAUUCUCGCUUUCCAUGCGGGAGACCCAGGUUCAACUCUCGGCCAAUGUA
rnacentral:tRNA from 1 species